UUUUUUCUUUCCAUCUUCGUAUAUCUGUCACAUGGCUCCGAGACUAGAUUUCAAUAACAACAAAAAAUGGCGAUAAUCACGUUGUUCCAAGUGGUGUUGCUGCGUCAUUAGAAAAUAUUGCUCCAAACACGUGGAAGAAACGGGAAAACCGAGGGGGAAAGCGGGGGUCUGAGACGCUGACCCUUAAAAUGUCCUGUGAUGGCAAACAUAAGAAAUUGAGUUGUUUACAUGAAGGAUCCAGCAAAGAGGGCGGAGUCCUGGGGGGGAGGAGGCUGCGGAGGGAGACUCGGACUGGGAUACUGGUUACAGAGUCCAGGGUGGUCUCGGGCCAGGUUCAGACAGAUCCGCAUUGCUGAAUCGGAAUGUGUGUCAGGAGGACUGCAAUGAACGGAUCUGGUUUCUCUUGGGUUGUCACGGUGACUAUGGAACAGUGUUCCCAUUGGACAGCAGGGGCGGCUGCUUGAUGUGACAGGCUGCCCUGGCUCAGUUAUCUCAGUGCUGAUGCUGUCCAUCUUAAAAGUACAGUACUGUGAUAACUGAAGGAUGGCAGCCCUCUUGGCACAGGAGACAAGGCGUAAUGCGAAACCGAACUCAUCAGGUGCUGAGCAGCUAAAGGAAAUGAAAGCAAACCGUUUUUGUAAAUCAUGUUUUUAUUUGCGCUGUGCAUUUUAUAUUAUAACUUUUAUUACUAAUGUAUUUUGUUUUGUAGACAAUUGCUAUACUUUCAUCUGCUUCCGUUCCACUCAUAUUUCCCACUAAGAUGUCAUGAUAGUGCAGCUCUUUUUUAAUUUAUAAAAUCAGAAAGUGAUCAUAUAACUACAAAUUCUGCAAUUCUGCUUGUUUCACAUGUCCCUUUUACUUGUAUUAUAUUAUUUAACCUUUCAUUGUAUGUCCCUUAAACUGACUGUUUAAAUAAACAUUUCGACGCAGAUCAUAGGUACUUCGGUUUCCUGGGAACAUUAUUUACUCGUAUAGCUGCUACUGUCUGGAUUAUUUUUGGUGCCACUGUAUGUGUACAGAAUGACCAGAUUUCAGAUUCUGCUUUCUGGAUAUCAGGCGCAUGGUUCUACACCAAGUUUAUCAGGCAUAAUGAAUUAGUUGCCUGAUUUCGAAACGGGGGUGGAUGUUUAGUUGGCUCAGAUAAGAACACGGUUGGAUCAAAGACCCGGCCCUGAAUUAAAUCAAAAUGUACGGCGGUGCCAUAGCUAUUCUUUAUAGCAGAUAUGGUGCUGCCGUGAUCUGGAUUUAAUCCUGGCCCUAGUGAGGAAGGGCCAGCGUGUCCCAGCCCUGCUUAGAUAAAGGAAAUGACCUAUUUGCAUAAUGGCCAGUACUAGUGUGUUAAAAAAAGAGAUAUUUUACAGCUUUGAUUUAUGUGGUUGUUAAUGCACCAGCUCACUAGUAAAUCAACGGCUAGUGUCUACUCUGCAGUCUCACAUUCACUGCUGAAUGUAUAGUUGUUUUAUUUUUUCAUUUGUUCUGUAAUGUAACCUGUAGCUGUAAAAAUCAUUAACACUGGGAUGAAAGGAACAGGUGUUAGAUAAAAGAUGAAGAAACUU